UACGGAUGGUGCAAGCGUUGUUCGGAAUCAUUGGGCGUAAAGCGCGUGUAGGCGGCUAUCUAAGUCUGAUGUGAAAGCCCGGGGCUUAACCCCGGAAGUGCAUUGGAAACUGGAUGGCUAGAGGACGAGAGAGGGAAGUGGAAUUCCUGGUGUAGGGGUGGAAUCCGUAGAUAUCAGGAGGAACAUCGGAGGCGAAGGCGGCUUCCUGGCUCGUUUCUGACGCUGAGACGCGAAAGCGCGGGGAGCAAACAGG
rnacentral:rRNA from 1 species